GACGAACGCUGGCGGCGUGCUUAACACAUGCAAGUCGAACGGAAAGGCCCUGCUUUUGUGGGUUGCUCGAUUGGCGAACGGGUGAGUAACACGUGAGUAACCUGCCCUUGACUUUGUGAUAACUUCAGGAAACUGGGGCUAAUACCGCAUAUGAGCUCCUGCUGCAUGUUGGUGGUUGGAAAGUUUCGGCGGUUGGGGAUGGACUCGCGGCUUAUCAGCUUGUUGGUGUGGUAGUGGCUUACCAAGGCUUUGACGGGUAGCCGGCCUGAGAGGGUGACCGGCGACAUUGGGACUGAGAUACGGCGCAGACUGCUACGGGAGGCAGCAGGGGGGAAUAUGGCACAAUGGGCGGAAGCCUGAUGCAGAAACGCCGCGUGCGGGAUGACGGCCUUCGGGGGGUAAACAGCUUUCGCCUGUGACGAAGAGUGAGUGACGGUAAUGGGUAAAGAAGCACCGGCUAACUACGUG
rnacentral:rRNA from 1 species